rfam:Ictidomys tridecemlineatus contig035358, whole genome shotgun sequence.
GGGGUUGUAGCUCAGUGGUAGAGUGCUUGCCUUGCACUUGCAAGGCACUGGAUUCAAUCCUCAGCACCA